rnacentral:lncRNA from 1 species
GAAAGGUCGAACCUUUUGAAUUUUGAAAUGUGCUCCCUCUGUUUCAGAUUAUAAGACGUCUUCGCAAGCUAAAAAUAGCCUGCCAAAACGUCUUAUAAUAUGGAACAGACUCUGUAGUUUAAUUCUUCUUCCUGUAUAGUAACCUCUUUAGUGUCCAAUGGUUGAUGAAACAUCUGUGGUGAAUUUACAGAGCUGAAACUUUAAUUCUUCUUCCUGUAUAGUAACCUCUUUAGUGUCCAAUGGUUGAUGAAACAUCUGUGGUGAAUUUACAGAGCUGAAACAUCUCUGUCUGAGAAGGAUCAGAAAGAGAGGGUUCAAAGGAGCG